CCUACGGGUCGCAGCAGUGGGGAAUAUUACACAAUGGGCGCAAGCCUGAUGCAGCCAUGCCGCGUGUAUGAAGAAGGCCCUAGGGUUGUAAAGUACUUUCAGUCGGGAGGAAGGCGUUGAUGCUAAUAUCAUCAACGAUUGACGUUACCGACAGAAGAAGCACCGGCUAACUCCGUGCCAGCAGCCGCGGUAAUACGGAGGGUGCAAGCGUUAACCGGAAUUACUGGGCGUAAAGCGCACGCAGGGGGUUGAUUAAGUUAGAUGUGAAAUCCCCGGGCUUAACCUGGGAAUGGCAUCUAAGACUGGUCAGCUAGAGUCUUGUAGAGGGGGGUAGAAUUCCAUGUGUAGCGGUGAAAUGCGUAGAAAUGUGGAGGAAUACCAGUGGCGAAGGCGGCCCCCUGGACAAAGACCGACGCUCAGGUGCGAAAGCGUGGGGAGCAAACAGGAUUAGAUACCCCUGUAGUC
rnacentral:rRNA from 1 species